CAAAAGCGUAUAUUAAAGUUGUUGCAGUUAAAAAGCUCGUAGUUGAACCUUGGGCUUGGCUGGCCGGUCCAUCUUUUUUGAUGCGUACUGGACCCAGCCGAGCCUUUCCUUCUGGCUAGCCUUUUGGCGAACCAGGACUUUUACUUUGAAAAAAUUAGAGUGUUCAAAGCAGGCCUUUGCUCGAAUAUAUUAGCAUGGAAUAAUAGAAUAGGACGUUAUGGUUCUAUUUUGUUGGUUUCUAGGACCAUCGUAAUGAUUAAUAGGGACGGUCGGGGGUAUCAGUAUUCAGUUGUCAGAGGUGAAAUUCUUGGAUUUACUGAAGACUAACUGCUGCGAAAGCAUUUACCAAGGACGUUUUCAUUAA
rnacentral:rRNA from 1 species